rnacentral:lncRNA from 1 species
GGAAUUAAAUCACCAACGCUUUAGUAGUUAGUUUUCAAACAAGUUAACAAAAACUUUGAUGAACCUUUGUUUCUCACAGCAUACGACAAAAAUGCAACAGUGUUUUUUCUUAAACUUUUAGACAAAGCUAAACACCAGGCGGCUAUCAAAUUUUUUUUUCUGGAAGCUUCUUCUUAAUUAACCAAUCUUUUUUUUUUUUUUUUGCCUAUCUUAAUAUAUUAUUAAGGCUCAAAAAGUUAAUAAAAAAAGACAAACACUAGAUACAUACUAAAUCCGAAAGGCCAAAACCCAUAAACAAAGACCACAAAGGUCUACCAGGCCACACAAAUCCCUAGCCCAAAAAGAAAAAGUGAGGGUAAUCCAGUUCCACCGCUCUCCGCCAAACGUGUCGAAGACCUACACACCAAAGAGACGCGUGGCGAAGGAAUGAAUCGUCUCCAUCUCUACCGACUGGGAAUAGCCGUCGGGACCGCAUACCGUCACUCCACCGGAAACACGAGCCACCACCAUCAUCCACGACUUAAAGCUGUCACUGGAAUAGACAAAACACUUUACCACCGGAAUCCACCGGGACACUAACCACGACCACCGAAAAACACCUCCAACGACUGUAUUGGAGAUAUAGGAAUUCAAUAUCUUCCACACUCGCGCCAGAGCUUUGGAGAGCAUCAAUUGAUUGAAUCAAGAUCACAUCCAAACUCGGCCAUCAAACACGAGAACUAAACGUUUCUCACAGCUCGAACACUUCCAAGGGAACGAUAGCCGGCGACCUCCACCGGAGAAGACACGGCGCGGCCCCAGAGUCCAAAGCCAGAUAUCCAAUGAAUGGGAGAUGCGAUACUGGAAAUAAAAAACGGACAUGCAACUUCGAAAAGCCCACGAUGCCGGAACGGAAGCCAACCAAAAUGAUCAACAAAACAGAGCUUAAAAGCAAAUCCCGACCGAUGACGUGUCUGAAGGAACCCACCGUUGUCGGCCGGAAACUUAGAUCGGAAAAUUGAUACCAAAGGUUGAGAGAGGUCGGAGCUUUCUCUCUCUCGUCAACCCUCAUAUUUAGUGUCGUUUUAGAAAAAAAAAUUCGUUACAAAAUAAGUGUCGUUUUCGAUUUUUAAUGCAAAAUUUAUUAAUUUUAUGCAAAAUUUAUUUUUCUAUUGAUUGAAAUACGGUUAGGUGUAUAGGUAAUAGUGUUUUUUAUAGGAAAUGUACAAAAUUAAUUGUUUUCUUAAUCCGUGUGCUGUAACC